rnacentral:rRNA from 1 species
GCAAGUCGAACGGUAACAAUGCUAGCUUGCUAGCAGUUGACGAGUGGCGGACGGGUGAGUAACGCGUGGGAAUCUGCCUUAUAGUGGGGGAUAACUCCGGGAAACCGGGGCUAAUACCGCAUAAUCUCUAUGGAGCAAAGCGGGGGAUCUUCGGACCUCGCGCUAUAAGAUGAGCCCGCGUUAGAUUAGCUUGUUGGUAGGGUAAUGGCCUACCAAGGCGACGAUCUAUAGCUGGUCUGAGAGGACGAUC